rnacentral:rRNA from 1 species
AUUGAACGCUGGCGGCAGGCCUAACACAUGCAAGUCGAACGAGUGGCGGACGGGUGAGUAAUGUCUGGGAAACUGCCUGAUGGAGGGGGAUAACUACUGGAAACGGUAGCUAAUACCGCAUACCAUCGGAUGUGCCCAGAUGGGAUUAGCUAGUAGGUGGGGUAAAGGCUCACCUAGGCGACGAUCCCUAGCUGGUAUGAGAGGAUGACCAUGCAUGCUGGAACUGUAACACGGUCCCGACUCCAACGGGAGGCAGCAGUGGGGAAUAUUGCACUAUGGGCGCAGGCCUGAUGCAGCCAUGCCGCGUGUAUGAAGAAGGCGUUCGGGUUGUAAAGUACUUUCAGCGGGGAGGCGUUACCCGCAGAAGAAGCACCGGCUAACUCCGUGCCAGCCGCCGCGGUAAUAC